rnacentral:rRNA from 1 species
AUUGAACGCUGGCGGCAGGCCUAACACAUGCAAGUCGAGCGAGCGGCGGACGGGUGAGUAAUGUAUGGGGACUGCCCUAUAGCGGGGGAUAACUACUGGAAACGGUGGCUAAUACCGCCUACUCUCGCAUAACCCAUAUGGGAUUAGCUAGUAGGUGGGGUAAAGGCUCACCUAGGCGACGAUCUCUAGCUGGUCUGAGAGGAUGAUCAGCCACACUGGGACGGAGACACGGCCCAGACUCCUACGGAGGAAGCAGUGGGGAAUAUUGCACAAGGGGCGAAAGCCUGAUGCAGCCAUGCAGCGUGUAUGAAGAAGGCCUUAGGGUUGUAAAGUACUGUCAGCGGGGAGGCGUUACCCGCAGAAGAAGCACCGGCGAACUCCGUGCCAGCAGCCGCGGUAAUUC